UUUUUUCAUCAAAAAAUAAAUAAAUCAAAAGAUCUUCUUAUGCCCAUAAUAUUUCAAUUUCUCCAUGUGUAAAAUAUUUCAACCAAAGAAGAUCUCUUUAUCAUCCACUGGAUAUUGAAAAGACGGUUUGUUAUUAUAUUUGUUCUCUUAUAGUUUGUAUUGUUUUAUAGUUUAUCAAUUUUCAUCUAAAUUUCUUUUCAUCCAAUUGGUGUUUUUAAAUCUGGGUUAUUGAGAAAUGUUUCAGAUCUUUUAUUUUUAUUUUGUGGUUUUAGGGUUAAUUUGUGUAAAGAUUAGAUUAACGCUCAUUAGAUUCAUCAAAUGGUUUUAAAGCGCAUUUUCGACUUAAUGUUUGUAUUUCUCUCUGCUUUCUGAAUUAGAAUUUCAUUUUUAAAUUUAUAUGGUGAAUAUUUUUAUUAUCCCCCAAUUAAUUUUAUUUUAGAUUAUUAAGUUUUGUUUGAAUUUGAUUUUGUGCAUCCCACUUCCUCUUAACAAGAAUUAUAAAGGUUGAUUAUUUUUCAAGUUCUAUAUUUUAUUGUUAAUCCUGUAAAUUUACUUUUUGGUAUGAUUUCCAAGUCUCACUUGAAUUGUUAAUACGUGAGCACUACGGGUUGAAUUAGCUUUUAGUUCAUCGUACUUCUUUUUUUGUUUAUAACAAUCUUGUCGGCUUUAGCUAACCCAAAAAAGACUUCGAAUAUGGUCAAAUCGAAGUUGAUUCUACGAACCAAAUACCGAUAAAUAGACAUUUUUUGUAUCCAACUGCACAAAUCAUUUUAAGGUAUUAUAUUAUAAUGUGAAUAAUUAUAGAGGCGAUCCAACUGGUAGAUUAGGUUCUUUGAUUUUCUUAUUUUGAUUUAACAAAAAUGAUGUUUCAAACAUUUAUAAAUUAGUCUUACUUUGUUGUCCUUCGUUUGCUUUGGCACUCUUGGAUUUACAAUCUUUGGUCCAUUUUUGUUGUAUUGGUAAGUUGGAGUCUUUUGGUUGUUUUUCUUUUGUUGUAUUUGUUGUUCUGGUGGGUAUGUGACGAUUUUAGUCCUUUUUUUACUUGAAUUAGAUAUGUUAGCAGUCUAAUUAAUUUCUGAAUUUUAGGUUAGUUUAUAAAAUAUUUUAAAAUCUUGCCUUUGCAUUUUGCUCUAUUAUCAUUCCAAUUUUUCAAAUUUGCAGGUUCAUCGAAACUUUUUCGGAGAUGAAAUACCACCUAAAGCAAGGGAGAAAGGACACAGGUUGGUUUUCUCUGUCGAGGUAAAUACCAAUAUUUGAUUAUAUACAUUGAGGUUUGGUAAAAAUCUUUUCAUUACGUAUUAAUUCCGGAUGAAUUUAGCACUGCUAGAGUCUAUUGUAGCAAUGUUCACGAAGUAUAAUAUAGGAUAUCGUUAAUAUUAACAUGUUAUUUAGGGGGUUUGCGCAAGGUCAAAUUCGUUUUCCAGAUAUAUAUAAGGUCGGGUGAAAGGUUUAUUAUUAAUAUAGGAUAUCGUUAGUAUUAACAUGUUAUUUAGGGGGUUUGCGCAAGGUCUGAUUCGUUUGCCAGAUAUAUAUAUAAGGUCGGGUGAAAGGUUUAUUCGCGUUUCUGUACUGUUGGUCUCACUACAAGCUACUUUUGGACCCUUAAUACCAAUAUUUGAGCUUGGAUGAAGUAUAAAAGUUCAGUAUUUUUUCCAGGGAACCUACUAUAUGUUCAGUUCGUAUAAUUCUCAAUAAGUUUUAAGCUCAGUUUUGUAUAACACCACAGAGGUUGGAGAAAAUGUAAAUUAUCAAUUAUGUGAAUGCUUUGACAGAAGGUCUACAGAUGUUGACAGGAACAAGGAGGUUGUAGAGUUGUGAACUGUUGGAACUCAUGCUUUUGCAAAUAAUUUUUUCCGUUUUACCGUUGGCAUGUUGAUCUCGAUGAAUGAUUUUCCUAACAACAAUCCACUUAUACAGAUAUCGGCAAUCAUUCUAGGUGUGGAAUGGGUUAUCUUAAAUAGUUGGUUAAACAUAGGUUAAAUUUGGCCUCAUGCAGUCAUCAAGCAUUAAUGUUCCUUUCAAGGUUAUGUAUAAAAUGAUGUGUGUACAUGUAUUCUCUUUGAUUUCUGAAGUAAGUUGGAUGUUAAUACAAUAUUUUUGUAUGCAUAAGCAAAAUUGAAAAAGCGUGUAUGGAACCGCGACAUGUUGGAUUUUGGGAACAUGAACA